rnacentral:rRNA from 1 species
AUACGUAGGGGGCGAGCGUUGUCCGGAAUGAUUGGGCGUAAAGGGCGCGUAGGCGGCGCGGUAAGUCUGGAGUGAAAGUCCUGCUUUCAAGGUGGGAAUUGCUUUGGAUACUGCCGCGCUUGAGUGCAGGAGAGGUUAUCGGAAUUCCCGGUGUAGCGGUGAAAUGCGUAGAGAUCGGGAGGAACACCAGUGGCGAAGGCGGGUAACUGGACUGCAACUGACGCUGAGGCGCGAAAGUGUGGGGAGCAAACAGGAUUAGAUACCCUGGUAGUCCACACUGUAAACGAUGAAUGCUAGGUGUAAGAGGUAUCGACCCCUUUUGUGCCGGAGUCAACACAAUAAGCAUUCCGCCUGGGGAGUACGGCCGCAAGGUUGAAACUCAAAGGAAUUGGCGGGG